rfam:Setosphaeria turcica Et28A unplaced genomic scaffold SETTTscaffold_18, whole genome shotgun sequence.
GGCCGGUUGGCGCAAUGGUAGCGCGCAGCCCUCCUAGUUUCGCACAGCGAGCUUUGAGCCAAGGCUGAGGCUGUGGGUUCGAGUCCCACAUCGGUCG